rnacentral:misc_RNA from 1 species
GUGAAACACAAGAGUGCUCUUUAUUGAGGCUCGUUUUAACUAUCCAUUACACUUAGUGCACUUGAAAACACCUUCAAACUCGUUCAUCCCUUUUAACGGGGAUAACUCGUUUGAUUGUAUUUACUUUAACCCCUUUGAAAUUUUAAACAAAGAUGAUGAUGUAUAACCAUGAAAUUUGAAAGA